GUUGAAACACCGGUUUCCGUACGGACACCUUUGUUAAGCAACGUCGAGCCUAGCCAGUACUUAGAUGGGUGUCUGCUUGGGAAUACAAGGUGUUGUAAG